UGCCAGCCGCCGCGGUAAUACGAAGGGGGCUAGCGUUGUUCGGAAUCACUGGGCGUAAAGCGUAUGUAGGCGGAUUGGAAAGUUGGGGGUGAAAUCCCGGGGCUCAACCCCGGAACUGCCUCCAAAACUAUCAGUCUAGAGUUCGAGAGAGGUGAGUGGAAUUCCAAGUGUAGAGGUGAAAUUCGUAGAUAUUAGAAAGAAUACCAAUUGCGGAGGCAGCUUUCUGGAUCAUUACUGACGCUGAGGAACGAAAGCAUGGGUAGCGAAGAGGAUUAGAUA
rnacentral:rRNA from 1 species